UUAGGUCCUUAUACUUUGCCAAAUUCUUGUUGGGUCCAGCGUCUAUGUGCAAAAACCCUAGCCCUAACUGUAAGACCUUCUCCUUCUCCCUUACUUCACCUGAAGCAUUUGCCUCUAGUUGCUAUCUAUCCAAUCAUCUCGGGUUUUCUUGUUUUUUUAAAGUUUGAUUGAAAUGGCAAGUCAAAGAACCACACAGCUCAUAACCAGUCUUACAAGGCUCACAAGAACGGGAUCAAGAAACCAAGAAGGCACAGAUGAAUCCCAAGUUCGUGAGGAAUCUAAGAGAUAUGCAAGGAAGCAUAACAAGAAGAGUGGUGAAUCUACAACGGAGGAAGAGUAAAUCUUGGAACCGUGUUUGGUAAUUGAUUUUUUAAUAGUCUUGGUUUAGUCUGAUUUUAAAUCUCAAUUGGAAAUUGAUUCUUAUCGGUGAUUCUUAAAGUAAUAAUGGUUAUUGCUCGGAAGUUAGUUAUUAUAUUAAUAGUGACAAUUGGAUGUUUACUUGGCCAAAUAUAUGUCUUUGAUUUCUAGUUUGUGAGGUUAAUUUCUUGUAGCAAAUUGUUUCAGGUUCCUCUUUCACCUAGGAAAGAAUGUGGAGUAGAAAGCAUACACCUUGAUCGUGAUUCAUGAAAAUAGUUUUAGCUCAAGGCGUAGUUUUGUCACUGAAAUGUAUAGCACACUACACCCUUCGCAAAUCUCUCAGUGGAAUGUCUUGUUCCUAUAGAAGUUGAUAUCAGUUAUUACAAUUGUAAUUCUUGGUCCAGCGAUACCUUUAGUUGUCUAAAUUUUUCAGGCUGUCUUGCUGGGUAGUCAACUAGUAUAUGCACUUUUAAUGUGGAUAAAAUGUGGUUGUUGUCGAUUCCUUUUCUUUCUGGGAUUUGAUAACUGAAAUUUAUCUAGCAAUACGAAUUGUUUAAAUGCUUGAUUUGGAAAGGGUUUCAUCUGGUAACUGUAGCAAGUAGUUCCUCUGGAAUAUAUUAUGUUCUGUCCAAAAGUUUUGAUGUGGUCUUAUUUGUUGUGAAAGCUUUAGGGAAGCAACUGUGAUUGAGAUGGAAAACUUUUGAGUUCCACUAUUCCUUUUUGUAGUGUAGCUAGGAGAAAAAUCUUGAGCCAUUGGCGUUGAAAAGUUGGUGGCCCUGUUUCUUUGAAUUGAUAAAGGUCCAUUUUAAUCAUACUCAACUUUUUGGUUGUUUGCUUGGCAGUUUGAACCUAAAGGAUGCGUACCGUUUUAGGUUUGCUCAUCUUCUGAUUAGCUUGUUUCUUAUUAGCCUUUGUUAGUUUCAGUCUUAGUGUCUUGCAAGAAGCAGUUCAAUGGAAUUUAACUGUUUACCACCUCUUCUGUUUUAUUUUUGUACUCAAUAGGCAUCAAUGAGUAUGAAAAAAAUAAAUAAGUUUAUCUCUUCGUUUCAAUUUUAUUUUUUUUAUUAUUUAUUGUUAUGCAAAGCAAAUUAUGCUUGGGGUUGUAGAAAUAGUUUUUAUUUAUAAUUUUUGAAUAUUAAUGCAAAG
rnacentral:misc_RNA from 1 species